rnacentral:rRNA from 1 species
GACGAACGCUGGCGGCGUGCUUAACACAUGCAAGUCGAACGGAAAGGCCCUGCUUUUGUGGGGUGCUCGAGUGGCGAACGGGUGAGUAACACGUGAGUAACCUGCCCUUGACUUUGGGAUAACUUCAGGAAACUGGGGCUAAUACCGGAUAGGGGCUCCUGCUGCGUGGUGGGGGUUGGAAAGUUUCGGCGGUUGGGGAUGGACUCGCGGCUUAUCAGCUUGUUGGUGGGGUAGUGGCUUACCAAGGCUUUGACGGGUAGCCGGCCUGAGAGGGUGACCGGCCACAUUGGGACUGAGAUACGGCCCAGACUCCUACGGGAGGCAGCAGUGGGGAAUAUUGCACAAUGGGCGGAAGCCUGAUGCAGCAACGCCGCGUGCGGGAUGACGGCCUUCGGGUUGUAAACCGCUUUCGCCUGUGACGAAGCGUGAGUGACGGUAAUGGGUAAAGAAGCACCGGCUAACUACGUG